rnacentral:rRNA from 1 species
UACGUAGGGUGCAAGCGUUGUCCGGAAUUAUUGGGCGUAAAGAGCUCGUAGGCGGUCUGUCGCGUCUGCUGUGAAAUCUCAGGGCUUAACCCUGAGCUUGCAGUGGGUACGGGCAGACUAGAGUGCGGUAGGGGAGACUGGAAUUCCUGGUGUAGCGGUGAAAUGCGCAGAUAUCAGGAGGAACACCGAUGGCGAAGGCAGCUCACUGGGACGGUACUGACGCUGAGACGCGAAAGCGUGGGGAGCAAACAGG